GGGGUCGACUGGUUUUGACAGCGAGCUUAAUUGUAAAGCAAGCACGCCGAGCUAUGAAAUUAAUGCUCGUAAAUAUCUAUUUCAAAACUUUAAAUGGCGAGAAUAACUACGCUCUUGCUGCCUAAUCUGAAUUAUAGUAAGAUUUCUGGCUAACUCCUUACAAGGUAAGGAAGCGAGAUGUUUCUGAAAAGCCCUUGUUGAUGGCAGUUCGUAAAGAAGCACCAUAAAAAUCAACAUUGAAUUUGCCGAUGGCUUCUUUUGGCAAAUUUGGAUAAAAAGAAGAUAAGUGUUUUAUGGGCUGUUUUCGGUCAGUAAAACAAUGAAAAUCAAACGAAAACUAAGCGUGUAGAAACCUUUAUGGUUACUUGUUUGGACGAGAGUUCGAAUCUCUCCGACUCCACCA
rnacentral:tmRNA from 1 species